rnacentral:rRNA from 1 species
AUUGAACGCUGGUGGCAUGCCUUACACAUGCAAGUCGAACGGCAGCGGACCUUCGGGUGCCGGCGAGUGGCGAACGGGUGAGUAAUAUAUCGGAACGUACCUUUCAGUGGGGGAUAACGUAGCGAAAGUUACGCUAAUACCGCAUAUUCUGUGAGCAGGAAAGCAGGGGAUCGCAAGACCUUGCGCUGAUUGAGCGGCCGAUAUCAGAUUAGCUAGUUGGUGAGGUAAAGGCUCACCAAGGCGACGAUCUGUAGCGGGUCUGAGAGGAUGAUCCGCCACACUGGAACUGAGACACGGUCCAGACUCCUACGGGAGGCAGCAGUGGGGAAUUUUGGACAAUGGGCGCAAGCCUGAUCCAGCCAUGCCGCGUGAGUGAAGAAGGCCUCGGUGUAAG